AAUAAAAACAAAGAAGAUUUAUUUUAAAAAAAAUGCUAUUUUGCAACACACUGGGUUGCAUUUUGAGCCCAAACAUGUUAAGAUACCUAAGUUAUGACACUACUUCCAUGGAGACCUAGCUGCUCAUAGGGAGUGGAAGUUACCAAAGAGAGAAAUGCAUGAGAAGUUGCAAGGACAGGGCCAUUUAAGCCAUUUGAAACUGAAGCCCAUACAGUUGAGAAAAGAGCUACAGGAUUUGAUGUUUGUCCUGCUCUGCUUCAGUCUUGCCUUGGUCCAAUCUUCCCUCACUGUGUCUCCAUUUUUCUCUUCCAGAAUGUUAAUGGUAUUUUGUGCCAUUGUAUGUUGGGAGUAUGUAACUUGCUCUCAGAAUGUAGAAGAUGUUACAGUCUCAGAAUUUAUAAAAUGUUACUGUCAAGAGAUUGUCUUCUGUCCCAGAGGAGUCUUUGUACUUUUAGAUAGUAGCAGAUGGGGAUCAUUGCAUGAGAAUCAUUGCAGAGACUGAAUACACUUUUUCAUUGUUGACCAUGAACCAAUAGAGACCGGGGUCAGAGUGUACUUCACUGAAUGAACAACCUCCCAGAGAAGAUCAUGUACUUGAACAAGUUUCUCUCCUUGGUGGUCUUUCUUUCAAUUUCCUAUGAACAUUUAGUAGGAAAGGCCUUUCUAGAUGAAAUGCCUCACUGUAUGUGAUGAGUAUCAAUAUCCUUAACUAAUUUUCUGACCUUUAUAUCUACUGUGUUGUUGUUGAUAUUAAUCAGUCAGCUUCCCACUCAUACUGAAAUGCUUUUACCAUCAUUAUAGGGCUGAUCUAUAAAUCACAUAAAAUGUAGAAGAAACAGUUGCUGUUCAGUGCUAAGUAAUUUGUUAGCAGUUUUAGUUGUUUGGUUUGCUUGUCUGAGUAAUCUUUGCUGUGUGGCUCCAAAUUCCUGAAAGUAAAGGUAGGGGGGCUUCAUUCAUGGCUUUUUGUUUUUUGUUAUUGGGUGAUGACCCUGGAAUGUAGGCUUUUUACAUGUCAAGCAUAUGCUGCUGUGAUCAGCUUCACACAUAUCUUGAAUUUUAAAUUUGAGAGAGGGUUUCAUUCUGAUUCCAAGGAUACCAUUUAUUCAUGACAUUAAUACUGCCUGAGCAUUCUGAGUCAUUGAAAUGCAGGUACAUGAAUGUCUUCCUGCUUGUUAUACUUGCUUUUAAUUUUUUACUCAAUAUGACUAUUUUAUGUGUCUGCAUGGAUAUGCACCAUAUGGAUACCUGGUCAUCAGAAUGAUCAAAGCAUCUCAGAAUCCUGAACUUGGAAUAAUAAAUAGUUGCAAUCCCCAUAUAAGUACUGGCGUUUGUGCCCACCUCUAUUCAAGACCAGGAAGAGCUCAGUAGUACUCAGCCAUAUUUCCAGACCUGUGUUAAUUAGUUAUGUCCAAUAUUUAUAUUGCUAAUGUUUUCAUCUGUCCAUUUCUAAUUAUUUUAAAAAAUGUAGCUCCUUUUCAUAAAAUGUUAUUGGUAUUACAGAUUAAAAUAAGACACUUGUGAUGUCUGGCAUAUGAAUACAGAUCUGGAGUGAAUGCAUAAUUCUUUGUAGGAACUUCAGUGCACAGCUGUGAAUACUUUAUAUCUGAUUUUUAUUCACUGAUUUUUGCGAUGGAGACAGGGUCUUAAUGUGUACUUCCACCUGUCCUGGACAUGAUUCCAUAGACUUGGCUGGCAUUCAGCUCAGAGACAAAUAUAUAUAUACCUCUGCUUUCUGAGUGCUGAGCUUAAAGGCAUGAGUCAAUACACCCAGUUUGUCCCCUGUAUUUUUCUUUUUUGUAAUUAGUAUUUUUUCAUACAAUUUUCUCAUGUGUACUAUAUCAUGUUGAUAUGUUUCCUUAGCUCUCCCUAGUAAUAGACAGUUCUUUUAUGAGGUGAUAUCCCAUUCAAAGGGUACAGAAAUGACAGAGGUGACUCUCCUAUUCAAUUUCCUUCUAAAGUGUCAUGGAAUAAGAGUGGGGAACACCAGAAUUUUAUGACUAUACAGUCAAAGAAGUGUACAUUUACAAUAUUGUCACUAUCAGUACAUUUACAAUAUUGUCACUAUCAUGUCACUAUCAUAUAUGGCAUAUUUUAGAAGGCAGUGACCUAUGAUGAUGUGCAUAUCCAUUUCACUGAGGAAGAGUGGAAUUUGCUGAAUCCUUCCCAGAAGAAUCUCUACAAAGAUGUGAUGCUGGAGACCUACAGGAACCUCACUACUAUAGGAUGCAUUUGGGAAGAUCAUAAUAGUGAAGAACAUUGUCAAUGUUCUAGAAGACAUGAAAGGAUUGAAAGAAUUCAAACUGGAGAGAAGAAACUUUCAAUAUAUAUUCAAUGUGGUAAACCCUUG